UCCCCUGUUGGGGCUGGCGACACUACCGCCACGCCAAAAUUACACCUGGUGACAAUUCACAGGUACUAACCUACCCUUUGGGAACGUUUGAAAAAAAAUCCUCCCUAGUUUCAGUUCAAUGCUCAGUGGGUAUAUCAAAGCAACUCUCGAGUAGCAACUGCUGUUUUCAAGAAAUGUCAAAACAAAAGCGUACUGUGCUUCGCGCAUGCUUUAGAAAUUUGCUGGUUGCACCGUUUUCUACUUCAACCAAGCAGAUUUUGGCGGUCGGAAUGUUCCAGCAAAUAUACCGGAAAUGUUGUGCUCUUCUAGAAGGGAGCUUCGUGUUUUUCCGGAAAGCUAUGACCGUGGUGAUGGUGAAAGUGGAACGACGGUGAAUUCGGAAGCGGCAAAGUGGAAUUCAGUUUGGCCGCUCACAUGGAUGAAGUCGAUUCUUCCAGCUAUGCCUCGAUGUCUAACGUCCUUGGCAAGAAACUGUACAUGACGCCAUGCGGUCGUGUACCAGUAUUACGGAACAAUGAAUGUAGAUGUACAUCUUAUAAUUUAAAAUUUCUGGGAAUACAAAAUAAACAAACAUA